GACGAACGCUGGCGGCGUGCUUAACACAUGCAAGUCGAACGGAAAGGCCUUUUCGGAGGUACUCGAGUGGCGAACGGGUGAGUAACACGUGGGUGAUCUGCCCUGCACUCUGGGAUAAGCCUGGGAAACUGGGUCUAAUACCGGAUAGGACCGCACUUUAGUGUGUGUGGUGGAAAGUUUUUUCGGUGUAGGAUGAGCCCGCGGCCUAUCAGCUUGUUGGUGGGGUAAUGGCCUACCAAGGCGGCGACGGGUAGCCGGACUGAGAGGUUGGUCGGCCACAUUGGGACUGGGAUACGGCCCAGACUCCUACGGGAGGCAGCAGUGGGGAAUAUUGCAAAAUGGGCGCAAGCCUGAUGCAGCGACGCCGCGUGGGGGAUGACGGCCUUCGGGUUGUAAACUCCUUUCGCCAGGGACGAAGCGUUUUGUGACGGUACCUGGAGAAGAAGCACCGGCUAACUACGUG
rnacentral:rRNA from 1 species